CCUACGGGAGGCUGCAGUCGAGAAUCAUUCACAAUGGGGGAAACCCUGAUGGUGCGACGCCGCGUGGGGGAAUGAAGGUCUUCGGAUUGUAAACCCCUGUCAUGUGGGAGCAAAUUAAAAAGAUAGUACCCCAAGAGGCAGAGACGGCUAACUCUGUGCCAGCAGCCGCGGUAAUACAGAGGUCUCAAGCGUUGUUCGGAAUCACUGGGCGUAAAGCGUGCGUAGGCUGUUUCGUAAGUCGUGUGUGAAAGGCGCGGGCUCAACCCGCGGACGGCACAUGAUACUGCGAGACUAGAGUAAUGGAGGGGGAACCGGAAUUCUCGGUGUAGCAGUGAAAUGCGUAGAUAUCGAGAGGAACACUCGUGGCGAAGGCGGGUUCCUGGACAUUAACUGACGCUGAGGCACGAAGGCCAGGGGAGCGAAAGGGAUUAGAUACCCCUGUAGUC
rnacentral:rRNA from 1 species